CGGUGAGAUAGUAAACGCCA
rnacentral:siRNA from 1 species